CCGACGGUGAGGGACGAAAGCUGGGGGAGCAAACCGGAUUAGAUACCCGGGUAGUCCCAGCUGUAAACGAUGCGCGUUAGGUGUAUCAGUGACCACGAGUCACUGAGGUGCCGAAGAGAAAUCGUGAAACGUGCCGCCUGGGAAGUACGGUCGCAAGGCUGAAACUUAAAGGAAUUGGCGGGGGAGCACCACAACAGGUGGAGCCUGCGGUUUAAUCGGACUCAACGCCGGAAAUCUCACCAGAUAA
rnacentral:rRNA from 1 species